AAUUCAGGUUGACGUUGCCAGCAUUAUUGUCUCCCUGCUGCGCAAUGCUUGGUCUGCUGGUUCAAACCACAGGGAAGGAGCAGGGGACGCCUGGGUUCUGAUGAAGGGGAGGCAGCUCUGGGAAACUAGAGGCAAAUUGUGCAAAUAAGCUUCUCAUAGACAUUGGGGGAGCUGCAGGGCGUGCACAUGGCAUGCUGGAAACAGGCUCUCAGUAAUCAUGCCUUUGAAUGUGUCCUGCUGGCAGUGAACAUUCUGUAAGUUUCGUUUCAAUGCGGUGAAUGUUGAAUGUUCUAAGGAUGGUUUGUCUCCGUGGUGUGAGCUUAUGCGAGGAACUAGAGAAAAAACGUUAGUGCUGAUGCUUGUGUGGAAAUACCACCAGGAAGACCACACAGGAUAGAAAUCUUCAAACAAGACAAACACGAAGGCGAUCACCCCAGAACCCAUCUGCUCAGCAUAUACACUGCCAGAAGGAAGCAGCAGGUCCUGGACAUUCCACUUUCCAGAUGCUACACAGCAAGCCCACAAUCCAAGUCCUCAUGAGGGAUGUGUCCAAAGAAGCAGGACUCAAUCAUCUUCAGAAAAUCCUCUUGCCUGGGAAGUUGCCCUGAUGACACCAAAACCUGUAGCUGGUUGUUUGCAAAAGACGAGAACCACAGUGAGCCCAACAUAGUUACAAGCUACCAUUCCUGCAGACGAGUCUGGACUCCCCAUGUGCGGCCAAUCUUCCAGUUUUUAAGGAAACUUUAUUGCCACAGAACGUGCAUACACUGACCCUCAGUUUGGGGUAUCUUUUAAUGUUUGGUGUAACUCAGAGAGAAUAUUUUCAAUGCUCCCAUUCUCCAGUAUUACUGUUGCAGGAGGGGAGAAGCAGCAGCCAUCAACCCACACAUUUGAGUUUUUCUUUGUUUCGUUUAAAGUUUUUAGGAUGUUAUAAAUGCUGCUCUGUCCCUGUGCUUUCCUAUUGUACCAGCCCUGAGCUUUUUGUUCUUUUAUUUUCCAAACUGGUAAAAUAUGUAGUCAUCAGUGAUAAAAAGCUCCAUGCAAUUUGUCCUGGAGGCAACUUACCUGUAGAGGUUUCUCCUUCAUUGUUAUUCGAAGGCUGUUUCCAGACCCUCACAAAGGGAGGAAUAUUCCACAUUCCUGCUAGCUGAGCCUGCUAGCUAAACCCCGUCCCACAGAAAACUUGAGGCUCACAAUCUGAAAAUGAUCUCUUUCCUCAGUUUGUCCUUCCAAGUUCCUCAUGGACUGCCCUUCCCAGCCUCAUUCCAGCUCUUCUUUGGAGAUGCAAAUCCCUUUACUGUGCAGAUUUCUAAAAUCUCUUUGGCAGGCAAAUGUUAGCUUUAGCGGACCUCAGGAAAAAAAAAAAGGCAGCAAAAACACACAAAAGGAAGGGAACACACACAUGCACAAUUGUGAGAUUUAGCACAGCUCCUUCAUGAGAUGUUUCCAAGACAGAGGAAAACAACCCAAAAUAUUCACUGGUGAGAGUCAGAAUUGUUCUUGAAAGAGCUGAGUGACACAUAAUGGAAAACAUUGUAAUUACCUGUUAUUAAAUUUAAUACCCCAAACAGAUGGUGUUCCAUUUUCCCCCCAAACAGACUGCUCACCUGAUUGGAAAAUUAUUUCUAAGCCCUUGCCCCCAGUUGCUUAACUUCCCAUUGCAUCCAAAUGUGAAUCGGGUUGCUGCCCGUGCUUUGCAAAUCUGACGGUAAAGUCAUUUCUCCUUUCUUGUCGUGAACAAAAACUACCCACUUUAUUUAUCUGAGGAAUUACUAUCACCCUGAGCCCCAAAUUUUUGGGAAUGAAGGACUUGCUAAAUGAAAGUGCAGUGCAAAGAACAGCUUCUUAGGGACACUG
rnacentral:lncRNA from 1 species